GGUGCAGUGGCCUGGCCAGCCAGCCCGCCCAGGAUGGAAGUGACAGAAGCCUCAUUAGCAUCUCAAUUAAAGAUGAGGGAACUGAGACCCGACCAACUUGCCAAGGUCUCCCAGAUGGCAAAGAACUGGAAAACUUGGGGAAUCCAGAUGCUGGAGGGGAGAAAACAGAGAGAAAGGGGAAGUAGGUAAAGAAAAUGGGUAAAGAACAAAGGAAGUAGGAAAGAAGGGAACAAUAGGGUAAAGGGUGAAAGCAAGGGUGAUGGAGUGAGGGAAACAGGCAUAACAAGGGGAAGCUAGAGAAAUUAGUGGUUAGGGGCACAUGAGAUUGGAGGGGAAAGGAAAUCACAGUAAAUAAGUAGCUCCCCAGCUUCUGGAAACUGGGUAAUAAAGACUGAGACAGAAGUCGCCUUCAGGAAUAAGAGGGAAGAUUCCCCAUGUAGGGAUCGGGUGAAAAGCAUCCUUUAGGGUGGGCUGCUAGGGCAGCUGUGCCUGAGGUAGGGGAGAAGAAAUAUUAGGAGAAUGUGAGCUGUCCUUCCCAGCUGGCUGAUGAUAACCUUUUCUUGCUCCACCCCUCCCCUUUGCACAGACCAUCUCUUUCCCUUCUCCCUCCUCCUCCCAGACACUGCCUUUGCUGGGAAGGAGCCAAGGUGAGGCUUGGGGGAUGGGUGAGGGCGCAGGACAUUCUGUUCUUUUUUGCACCAUUGACUGCCAGGCUAGGAAUGUGUAAUAGCCACUGUUGUGAUCAGAAAGGGACAAGAAUGUGAACAUGGGGAAACAGGCCAGGAUCAGGGCAGAAGCAGGGAGAAGCAAAAGAUAGGUGCUACAAGAAGGUUCCUGGGUAGGCUAGGAAAGAGAGGAGGACUAAGGCUGGCAAAAGCAGGGUGGGGACACAGAGAGUGUCAACAAGAGCUGGACGGAGCAGGGGGUCACAGGACUUAGCAGGUGGCUGACUCGGUGCAGGGAGUGGACAGAGCUGCUGACCUAAGGAGGAAGGAGACAGAAAGCUCUGCGAGGAAAGCAAAGCUCUUGGGGCUGGGACUGUGUCUCCUCUUAUCUCUGCAAGGGAUUUGAUCCAACCAGAAGGUCUUGAAUGGUUAUCGGAUAUCUUCUAGGAGGCUCUGAAAUAUUCCAUGAAGUCUGAAAUCCAGGACUUGAAAAAAUCAGUAUAAUGUCAUCUACAAACAAGAUCAUCUGACUAUUCACAAGGAAUCCCUCUUCAAUUUGGACUCUGCACUGAUGGUUUUCCAGCACAGUGGCAAAUACAUCUGAUCCUCAAAGUGGCAGAGGAAGUGAGUGAGAAGCAGAGGAAGGAAGCAGGCGGGAGGCAGCUGCUGCAGGAAUGGGAGUGCCCAAACCCCAAAAAAGCCUUCCCACCCCCACCCCAGCAGGCUCUGCAUCCAGAAGAGCAUCAAACCCAUGAGAAGGCUGCUCCAUCUACUCCUAAAAUCAUGCAUGGAAAAGGUGCAAAGAUCCACAAUGUAAUAGUUUGCAAAAUUCUUGCAGCAGCCGGUUGGCACUAGAUGUACUGGGCUUGGAACCAGGAAAGAAGCCUCACCUCCCUGAGUUCAAAUCCAGGUUCAGACACUUCCUUGCUGAGUGACCCUGGACAAGCCGCUUUACCCAAUUUGCCUCAGUUUCCUCAUCUGUAAAAUGAACCAGAGAAGAAAAUGGAAAACGACUCCAGAGUUAACUGUGGUAUCUCUCCUGCCAGGGAAGUCCCCUGGGCUCGGUUCUGAGCUGCAGUAGUGCUAAAACUGAUGAUCAAUAGUGAUAUCAUGUCUGGGCAAGAUGGGUACAUUCUUAAAAAUAAAAUAAAAUAAAGUGGGGUGGGAAAGGAUGGAUACCCUGAGCCCUUGUGAAUCCCAGCCACAGUUACCUCUAACCUUUAUGUGGUACUCAUUAAAAAUUGUACACAAAUGAGAAAAUAGUCAUUAAUGUUGUCUUGUUUAUAUGUUUUUGUUAUUAAUAACAAUUAAAGGGUAUAGGGCACUAAAUCGAAAGUCAGGAUGUUCUGAGUUCAAAUUUGACCUCAGCUCUAUUUGCCUCCCUUUCAUCCUCUAUAAAAAUGGGGGUAUUUAAUAAAAGUACUUACCUCCAAGAGUUGUGAAGC